ACGAGUGGCGGACGGGUGAGUAAUGUCUGGGAAACUGCCUGAUGGAGGGGGAUAACUACUGGAAACGGUAGCUAAUACCGCAUAACGUCGCAAGACCAAAGAGGGGGACCUUCGGGCCUCUUGCCAUCGGAUGUGCCCAGAUGGGAUUAGCUAGUAGGUGGGGUAAAGGCUCACCUAGGCGACGAUCCCUAGCUGGUCUGAGAGGAUGACCAGCCACACUGGAACUGAGACACGGUCCAGACUCCUACGGGAGGCAGCAGUGGGGAAUAUUGCACAAUGGGCGCAAGCCUGAUGCAGCCAUGCCGCGUGUAUGAAGAAGGCCUUCGGGUUGUAAAGUACUUUCAGCGGGGAGGAAGGGAGUAAAGUUAAUACCUUUGCUCAUUGACGUUACCCGCAGAAGAAGCACCGGCUAACUCCGUGCCAGCAGCCGCGGUAAUACGGAGGGUGCAAGCGUUAAUCGGAAUUACUGGGCGUAAAGCGCACGCAGGCGGUUUGUUAAGUCAGAUGUGAAAUCCCCGGGCUCAACCUGGGAACUGCAUCUGAUACUGGCAAGCUUGAGUCUCGUAGAGGGGGGUAGAAUUCCAGGUGUAGCGGUGAAAUGC
rnacentral:rRNA from 1 species